GACGAACGCUGGCGGCGUGCUUAACACAUGCAAGUCGAACGAAGAGCGAUGGAAGCUUGCUUCUAUCAAUCUUAGUGGCGACCGGGUGAGUAACGCGUAAUCAACCUGCCCUUCAGAGGGGGACAACAGUUGGAAACGACUGCUAAUACCGCAUACGAUCUAAUCUCGGCAUCGAGGAUAGAUGAAAGGUGGCCUCUACAUGUAAGCUAUCACUGAAGGAGGGGAUUGCGUCUGAUUAGCUAGUUGGAGGGGUAACGGCCCACCAAGGGGAGGAUCAGUAGCCGGCUGGAGAGGAUGAACGGCCACAUUGGGACUGAGACCCGGCCCAGAUUCUUAGGGGAGGCGGCAGUGGGGAAUCUUCGGAAAUGAAGGAAAGUCUGACGGGCAACGCCGCGUGAGUGAUGACGGCCUUCGGGUUGUAAAGCUCUGUUAAUCGGGACGAAAGGCCUUCUUGCGAAUAGUGAGAAGGAUUGACGGUACCGGAAUAGAAAGCCACGGCUAACUACGUG
rnacentral:rRNA from 1 species